AUGCAAUACGAGAUGGACUCCAGGACAGAGAAAUAUCAAGCCCCCACCGUUGUUUCCUUCCCACAUUGACCUCUCUUCCCCCUCUCUCUCCUGAGUUCCACGCCAGCCACCGUCGCCAGUAGAUCUGGCUUCUCCAUCAACCUCCGGCAGCGAAUCCGGCUUUCGUGGCUGUCACCUACCACGGGGGAACACAGGAAAGACCGGUGGCACGGCUGUACCACGAGGUCGGCGAGGAGCGACGCCGAAUCACGCCGGCGGACGACGGAUACGCUGUAGUGGGCGUUGGGGGGAGCUGCUCCGGCAAGGUUCCACCACGAAGGCCACCCACCACGACGGGUCACCGCGCACUAGCGUCGCUGGAUCCGCCGACUCCAUGUAUGAUCGCAACCGGAUCUGAUGGCUGGCCUCCCCUUGCUCCUUCAAUUUCAGGUGUUUGUAUGUUUGCUACAGAGAGCAUCGGUUAUUGUUGUGGAAUGUGUGUGAAAUACAUUGUGGGAUCCAGUGGAAUCAAUUGAUAUAAUUGAAAAGAUGAAUGAAUCAAUUUUUGUGUCAUUUGGUUUUGUGAUCUGAAAUUGUACAAAAUAGUGUGCACAUAUGCGAAAUCGAUAGUCUGUGUUGUUUAAAAUACUUGAACUUUGAUAAGUUUAUGAAAUGCCAUUGAAUCACAAUGACAUAUGUUUAUUAAUUGAUUGAAAUGUACAUUUUAAAGAACUGAAAUCAGGUACUCUUUGAUAGUGUAACAAAUCAGUUUCACUUGUUGUGAAAUAUGAAAUUUGAGUUGGAAUAAUUGAAAUCACUUUGUAAAAAAUAAAAAAAUGAUUUUGCCACUCUUUUAUGAUGUUACAGUCUUUUGUAAAAAUAUGCUAGUGAAAUUUGUUUUAGAAAGGAUUGAAAUCAGUUCUUUGAUGAUUGAGUAAUGAGUUUCAUUCGAUGUGAAAUAUGGCAUUGGCAUUGGCAUUGGAAUAACUGAAAUAACUUGGUAAAAAAAUGAAUGCCACUCUUUUGAAAUCUAAGUUUCACUCUUUUGAAAUAUGAAAUUACUUCCCUGAAAUAUGUGAAACUGCUAUUUCAUAUAUCUAUAACAUGUUAUAUGCAUCAGAUAUGUAUUGAAAUAGAUUUUUAAAUAUAAAUUGAAAUUGUUUUGGCCACUUUUAGAAAAUUCAAUUUCAGUCUUUUUUGAAAAAAUAUUGAAAUUUUAAUAGCUGAAAUCACCUUUUAAAUAAAUUGAAUUAGUUUUUUUUCAAAUAUGAAAUAAUCAGUUUCACUUCUUUUUUUUGAGUUUGUGAUAUAUUAAAUAAAUUUUGUUAAAAAAUGAAAAUGGUUUUGAAAUGAUAUCAAUUUUUUUGGAUGGUGUGGAAUUAGAUUCAUAAAAAUUGAAAAUCAAUGUAUGAAACUAUUGAAAUCAGAAACUUGAAAUGAUUGCAGUGUUUUUUUGAAAGAGUUGAAAUGAUAUUUCAAUUAGGUAUGAAUUGAAAUAGCUAUAUGUAGCUGAGUUGUUUAAAAAUAAUAAUAUGAAACUGACAUUUAAAAUGAGAGAGGUUGAUCCUUUGAAAAAUAAGCUGACAUUUCUGUACGUGGGUGAACUGUGAAGUGAGACUAGCUUCAGACGCAUAUAGGGCCGUAGACCGUAGCUGGAAUAACGUGGGUAGGCCCAGCUGGUCAAAUCACGUGGGUGGGGUCCAGCUGGUGAAAUACAGCAGAUUAAAUGAAGACAUGUGUGAAAUACAGACAUACAAUUUAUGACAACUUUUGAGGUGGUGAGAUUCUAUUGGUCAGAGAACCUCCGGUAGAUCCCGGCGCCGGUAAAAAGAGGUUUGCGAUGGGCAAGUAGAGGCUGCCAUCUGAUCAUCACCGUUGGAGCUGCCCUAAACCCUUUGCAGAUAGAUCGAUCUCUACUAGCUACAACCGCUGGCAUCUUGGCAAUCAUACACACGUGAAUCGGCAAUUUACACAAGAACAACCACCAAGAGAGUACGUGCAUCUCUGCAUCAGCCCAUCACCACCUUUUUGGAUGCUAACAUUUCAGAGACGUUGGUGACUCUUUGUGUUGGUGUGCACUAGGAUGAGGAGGAUGGAGGCCCCCUAGCCGCGGCUGGCUUGCUGAGGAGGGGCUUGCAGCGCCUUCACCACGAUGGUCAUGUUCGGCCAGAAGUCCGACUCGUACUGCACGCACAACGCCGCCAACCGCUGCCAUCUGGCAUGCAUAUUCCACCUUGUAAACAUCUGUACUAUGAUCUACUCCUGUUCCUAAAUAUAUGUUUUUUUAAAGAUUUUA